rnacentral:rRNA from 1 species
UUUCCAAGCCUUAAUUAAUUAAAUUUUUAAUAGGGAUUCGGGGAUAAGGUGUAGGGGUGAGAUGUUAAAUAAGAUACCCUAUAGUCUUCUUAGCUAGGAGAAUAAAGUAAAGGAAAAUUUCUGCUAUAGGAUUCUAUUUAAUUUGAUUAGGUAGUUGAUAGGGUAACGGCCUACCAAGCCAAAGAUCAAAAGUCAAGUUUGAAAGAACCUCUGGCCACAUUGGGGAUGAAAUCUCCCAAGUAGUAAUAACACUACCAGCAGUCGAGAAUAUUAGUCAAUGCUCGUAAGGUGAACUAGAACUGAAAUCAUAGAAUUUCUUCAAAUUCAUGAUGUCGUAAGGGAAAAUAAUGAUAAUACCUUACUAUGAGUGUCGUCCAAAUCUGGUGCCAGAAGACUCGGUAAGACCAGAGACGCAAACGUUAAUCAUCAUAAACAGGCGUAAAGGGUUUGUAGGCAGCUUUUAUAAAAUUAUCAAAAACUAAAUUAAAAGCUAGAAUCAAAAAGAGGUUAUAGUGUAUAACGCCUAGAGGAGGGCUGAUAUCCAUAGAUCCUAGGCAGAAUACUCAGGGCGAAGGCCACUCUCCACUAAUGAUUGACGCUGAGAAACGAAGGUUAGGGUAGGAAAUAGGAUUAGAUACCCCGGUACUCCUUUCUGUAAACGAUGAAUGGUAGUCAUUAGUUAAAUUAAAAUAACUAGAGGCGAAGUUAACACAAUAACCAUUCCGCCUUGUGAGUACUACUGCAAAGUAGAAAACAAAAAAAUUAGUCGGUCUCGAAGCAAACGGGGUGAAGCAUGUUAUUUAAUACGAUAAUCCGCGUCCCUCCUUCCCAGAACUUGCAUACAAACUAUAAAUUUUCUUUCCUGAAAAGGUAGAGGGA